GACGAACGCUGGCGGCGUGCCUAAUACAUGCAAGUGGGACGCAAGGGAACACACUGUGCUUGCACACCGUGUUUUCUUGAGUCGCGAACGGGUGAGUAACGCGUAGGUAACCUGCCUAUUAGCGGGGGAUAACUAUUGGAAACGAUAGCUAAUACCGCAUAAUAUUAAUUAUUGCAUGAUAAUUGAUUGAAAGAUGCAAGCGCAUCACUAGUAGAUGGACCUGCGUUGUAUUAGCUAGUUGGUAAGGUAAGAGCUUACCAAGGCGACGAAACAUAGCCGACCUGAGAGGGUGAUCGGCCACACUGGGACUGAGACACGGCCCAGACUCCUACGGGAGGCAGCAGUAGGGAAUCUUCGGCAAUGGACGAAAGUCUGACCGAGCAACGCCGCGUGAGUGAAGAAGGUUUUCGGAUCGUAAAGCUCUGUUGUAAGUCAAGAACGUGUGUGAGAGUGGAAAGUUCACACAGUGACGGUAGCUACCAGAAA
rnacentral:rRNA from 1 species